AAAUGUGAUGUUACUUAUGAAAAGUAUAUUAGUUAAGGUUGUGCGUGUAUUUUGUAUGUACCUCAAGUUCAAGUUAAUGGCAUUGAUUUAUGUUCUAAAGAAAAACAAAUAACAAAUAUUAAUAAUAUCCUUCAUUAUAACCAUAAUGAGAUAAGAAUUGGCAUUGGUGUUCAGUGCCAUUUUAUAUUUUCUCCCUAUGUUCUCUGUAUUGUACUAACUUUCAUGCGCGUCCGUGUGAAGAGACCACCAAACAGGCUUUGUGUGAGCAACAUGGCUGUUUAUUUCACCUGGGUGCAGACGGGCUGAGUCCGAAAAGAGAGUCAGCCAAGGGAGAUAAGUUUGGGGCCGUUUUAUAGGAUUUGGGUAGGUAAAGGAAAAUUACAGUCAAAGGGGGUUUGUUCUCUGGCGGGCAGGAGUGGGGGUUGCAAGGUGCUCGGUGGGGGUGCUUUUUGAGCCAGGAUGAGCCAGGAAAAGGACUUUCACAAGGUAAUGUCAUCAGUUAAGGCAAGGGCCGGCCAUUUGCACUUCUUUUGUGGUGGAAUGUCAUCAGUUAAGGUGGGGCAGGGCAUAGUCACUUCUUUUGUGAUUCUUCAGUUACUUCAGGCCUUCUGGGCGUAUACGUGCAAGUCACAGGGGAUGCGAUGGCUUGGCUUGGGCUCAGAGGCCUGACACUAACCAACCUCCCAAAUCAUUGAGGCCUGGGUGUCAACUUGGGACUGGAUAGCCAACUGAGGCCUGAGUGUUUCUUGGUGACUGAGGACUUCCUGGGACCCAUAUUUCCUGGACCCGGAUUUUCACAUGGAGCCUGAUGUCUGGAGUUCUGAGUUCUAGGUGUUUACUUGGGACCCAGAUGUGCACCUUGGCAGAGCCUCCGUAACAAAGGCCUAGGGCCACCAGGAGGCUGUGAAAAAGAAGCAGGGCGUCUCUUUCCCCGGACACUUGAGAGUUUGUCAGAGCCUUCAGCGACAGAGCAGGUGCCCUGGACAUAGGAACCCAGGCACCUGGGCACUGACAUCACCUCAAGGGCCACUUGUGCCCCAGGCUAUAGAGUCUCCUGAGCCACCAGGGGGUGCGCGGAGUGGGGAGGGCAUUUGUUCACGUGCAGCGGCCUCUUGCCACUGCCAUCUGUCUCCACAGCUAAGUUGCGGGACCAUCUCAUCUUGUUUCACGCCACCUCACCCUGGGUUCCCAUCAUUUCCCAGUAAUGCCCAAAGUCCUGGGCCCCUGGCUUGGGCACCUCGAGACCAGUGAGUGUAGGAUGCUGGCUGCCCUCGGCUAGGCUGGCCAUGCUCUGCUCAGCCAAGCCCCUGUCCUUCCUGCAGGUGCCAGUCCGUCCCUGCCUGGCCAGCACCCCCG
rnacentral:lncRNA from 10 species